GAUGAAGAACGUAGUAAAAUGCGAUACUUGGUGUGAAUUGCAGAAUCCCGUGAACCAUCGAGUUUUUGAACGCAAGUUGCGCCCGAAGCCUUUUGGCCGAGGGCACGUCUGCCUGGGCGUCACGCAUCGCGUCGCCCCCCACAAUUCUCCGUAAAGGGAACGUGUGUUUUGGGGGCGGAUAUUGGUCUCCCGUGCUCAUGGCGUGGUUGGCCGAAAUAGGAGUCCUUUCGAUGGACGCACGAACUAGUGGUGGUCGUAAAAACCCUCGUCUUUUGUUUCGUGCUGUUGCUCGCAAGGUAAACUCUUUAAAAACCCCAAUGUUUCGUCUCUUGACGACGCUUCGACCGCGACCCCAGGUCAGGCGGGACUACCCGCUGAGUUUAAGCAUAUCAAUAAGCGGAGGA
rnacentral:misc_RNA from 1 species